rnacentral:rRNA from 1 species
GGGUCCUUCGGGACCCUAGUAGAGUGGCGAACGGGUGCGUAACACGUAGGUAACCUGCCCUCGAGCGGGGGAUAACUACCGGAAACGGUAGCUAAUACCGCAUGAAGACUGGAGGUCGCAUGACCACCAGUUGAAAGCCUUCGGGCGCUCAAGGAUGGGCCUGCGGCGGAUUAGCUAGUUGGUGAGGUAACAGCUCACCAAGGCAACGAUCCGUAGCUGGUCUGAGAGGAUGAUCAGCCACACUGGCACUGAGACACGGGCCAGACUCCUACGGGAGGCAGCAGUGAGGAAUCUUGCGCAAUGGACGAAAGUCUGACGCAGCCACGCCGCGUGAAGGAAGACACCCCUAUGGGGCGUAAACUUCUUUUCUACGGGAAGAACACCCUGCUUGGCAGGGUCUGACGGUACCGUGGGAAUAAGCACCGGCUAACUCCGUGCCAGCAGCCGCGGUAAUACGGAGGGUGCAAGCGUUGUCCGGAAUCACUGGGUGUAAAGGGUGUGUAGGCGGGACAGUAAGUCAGAGGUGAAAUCCUGCGGCUCAACCGUAGAAUUGCCUUUGAUACUACUGAUCUUGAGUCCUGGAGAGGUCGUUAGAAUUCGUGGUGUAGCGGUGAAAUGCGUAGAUAUCACGAGGAAUACCAGAGGUGUAGACGGACGACUGGACAGGUACUGACGCUGAGGCACGAAAGCGUGGGGAGCAAACAGGAUUAGAUACCCUGGUAGUCCACGCUGUAAACGAUGGAUGCUCGGUGUUGCCCCGCUCUU